rnacentral:rRNA from 1 species
AGCUCCAAAAGCGUAUAUUAAAGUUGUUGUGGUUAAACAGCUCGUAGUACGAUUUCUGCUGAGGAUGACUGGUCCGCUUUCUGAGUGUGUGUCUGGCUCAGCCUUGGCAUCUUCCACAGGAACGUAUCUGCACUUGACUGCGUGGUGCGGUAUUUAAGACAUUUACUUUGAGGACAUGAGUGUUUCAAGCAAGCGCACGCCUGGAAUACAUUGGUAUUAGCAUGGCAUAAUGAGAUAGGACCUCGGUUGUUUUGUGUUGGUUUCUAGAGCUCAGUUAAGGAUUGAAAGGGAUAAUUGGGGGCACUCGUAUUUAACUGUCAGAGGUGAAAAAAUCCUUGGAAUUGUUUCAAGACGGACUACUGCGAAAGAAUCUGCCAAGGAUACUUCCAUUGAUCAAGAA